CAGACAGGAUGAUAAGUGGGGUUCAGACAGGAUGAUAAGUGGGGUUCAGACAGGAUGAUAAAUGGGGUUCAGACAGGUUGAUAAGUGGGGUUCAGACAGGAUGAUAAGUGGGGUUCAGACAGGUUGAUAAAUGGGGUUCAGACAGGUUGAUAAGUGGGGUUCAGACAGGUUGAUAAGUGGGGUUCAGACAGGAUGAUAAGUGGGGUUCAGACAGGUUGAUAAGUGGGGUUCAGACAGGAUGAUAAGUGGGGUUCAGACAGGAUGAUAAAUGGGGUUCAGACAGGAUGAUAAGUGGGGUUCAGACAGGAUGAUAAGUGGGGUUCAGACAGGAUGAUAAGUGGGGUUCAGACAGGAUGAUAAGUGGGGUUCAGACAGGAUGAUAAGUGGGGUUCAGACAGGAUGAUAAGUGGGGUUCAGACAGGUUGAUAAGUGGGGUUCAGACAGGUUGAUAAGUGGGGUUCAGACAGGUUGAUAAGUGGGGUUCAGACAGGAUGAUAAGUGGGGUUCAGACAGGAUGAUAAGUGGGGUUCAGACAGGAUGAUAAGUGGGGUUCAGACAGGUUGAUAAGUGGGGUUCAGACAGGUUGAUAAGUGGGGUUCAGACAGGUUGAUAAGUGGGGUUCAGACAGGAUGAUAAGUGGGGUUCAGACAGGAUGAUAAGUGGGGUUCAGACAGGUUGAUAAGUGGGGUUCAGACAGGAUGAUAAGUGGGGUUCAGACAGGUUGAUAAAUGGGGUUCAGACAGGUUGAUAAGUGGGGUUCAGACAGGUUGAUAAGUGGGGUUCAGACAGGUUGAUAAGUGGGGUUCAGACAGGAUGAUAAGUGGGGUUCAGACAGGUUGAUAAGUGGGGUUCAGACAGGUUGAUAAGUGGGGUUCAGACAGGUUGAUAAGUGGGGUUCAGACAGGUUGAUAAGUGGGGUUCAGACAGGUUGAUAAGUGGGGUUCAGACAGGUUGAUAAGUGGGGUUCAGACAGGUUGAUAAGUGGGGUUCAGACAGGAUGAUAAGUGGGGUUCAGACAGGAUGAUAAGUGGGGUUCAGACAGGAUGAUAAGUGGGGUUCAGACAGGUUGAUAAGUGGGGUUCAGACAGGUUGAUAAGUGGGGUUCAGACAGGUUGAUAAGUGGGGUUCAGACAGGUUGAUAAGUGGGGUUCAGACAGGAUGAUAAGUGGGGUUCAGACAGGUUGAUAAGUGGGGUUCAGACAGGUUGAUAAGUGGGGUUCAGACAGGUUGAUAAGUGGGGUUCAGACAGGUUGAUAAGUGGGGUUCAGACAGGUUGAU